ensembl:snRNA U1 U1 spliceosomal RNA
UUACUUUCCUGCCAGGGGAGAUACCAUGAUCAAAUAGGUGAUUUUCUGAGUGAGGCUCAGAAAACAUUCCAGGGAUGUUCUCAACCCUGUGAUUUCCCCAAAUGCAAUAAACUCAACUGUAUAAUUUGUAAUAAAGGCUGUUGUGUUCUUGUUCUCCCCUG